CGCUCCCGUGACUAGUGGUUAGAGCGUCCGCCUCGGAUGCGGGAGGUCGUGGGUUCGAUUCUCGGUCACGU